GAUCAUGGCUCAGAACGAACGCUGGCGGCAUGCCUAAUACAUGCAAGUCGAACGAGAUCUUCGGAUCUAGUGGCGCACGGGUGCGUAACGCGUGGGAAUCUGCCCUUGGGUUCGGAAUAACAGUUGGAAACGACUGCUAAUACCGGAUGAUGACGUAAGUCCAAAGAUUUAUCGCCCAGGGAUGAGCCCGCGUAGGAUUAGCUAGUUGGUGGGGUAAAGGCCUACCAAGGCGACGAUCCUUAG
rnacentral:rRNA from 1 species